UCUGGCAAUGAUGACACACUUGCCCUCACUGAGAAUUGCUGUUAAGCGGUUUGGUGAAGAUACCUUUAAAUUGUACUCUUGUUCUGAGCCAGA